AGCCAAAUGAAUAAACGCAGAAAAAACCAACAGGACUGCCUUGCCAACACACAAAUGUCCAGGAGAUCUGGCUUUGGCAAGAAUUCUUACCCUUCCUUGGCUUCUUCCAGUUUUCCAAGAUCCCAGCUACAGGCCUGGAGUAAAAUGUGCUUGUGACAGUGAGAUCUGAACCGACCAGACCUGGACUCCUUAUGACUGGAAUGUUAAAGAAGAGAGGAGUCAAUCUCUAUCUUUUAAACCAUUUUUAUCUGAGCCUUUGUGUUGGCUACUUAUCUAGUAUCCUAAGAAAUAAUA